UUCCGGUUGAUCCUGCCGGAGGCCACUGCUAUCGGGGUCCGACUAAGCCAUGCGAGUCACGGGGGUGUCCCUUUGGGGCACCACCGGCGGACGGCUCAGUAACACGUCGGUAACCUACCCUCGGGAGGGGGAUAACCCCGGGAAACUGGGGCUAAUUCCCCAUAGGCCUGAGGUACUGGAAGGUCCUCAGGCCGAAAGGGACUUAUGUCCGCCCGAGGAUGGGCCGGCGGCCGAUUAGGUAGUUGGUGGGGUAAUGGCCCACCAAGCCGAAGAUCGGUACGGGCUGUGAGAGCAGGAGCCCGGAGAUGGACACUGAGACACGGGUCCAGGCCCUACGGGGCGCAGCAGGCGCGAAACCUCCGCAAUGCGGGAAACCGCGACGGGGGGACCCCGAGUGCCGUGGCAACGCCACGGCUUUUCCGGAGUGUAAAAAGCUCCGGGAAUAAGGGCUGGGCAAGGCCGGUGGCAGCCGCCGCGGUAAUACCGGCGGCCCGAGUGGUGGCCGCUAUUAUUGGGCCUAAAGCGUCCGUAGCCGGGCCCGUAAGUCCCUGGCGAAAUCCCACGGCUCAACCGUGGGGCUUGCUGGGGAUACUGCGGGUCUUGGGACCGGGAGAGGCGGGGGGUACCCCUGGGGUAGGGGUGAAAUCCUAUAAUCCCAGGGGGACCGCCAGUGGCGAAGGCGCCCCGCUGGAACGGGUCCGACGGUGAGGGACGAAGGCCAGGGGAGCAAACCGGAUUAGAUACCCGGGUAGUCCUGGCUGUAAAGGAUGCGGGCUAGGUGUCGGGUGAGCCUCGAGCUCGCCCGGUGCCGUAGGGAAGCCGUUAAGCCCGCCGCCUGGGGAGUACGGCCGCAAGGCUGAAACUUAAAGGAAUUGGCGGGGGAGCACUACAAGGGGUGGAGCGUGCGGUUUAAUUGGAUUCAACGCCGGGAACCUUACCGGGGGCGACGGCAGGAUGAAGGCCAGGCUGAAGGUCUUGCCGGACACGCCGAGAGGUGGUGCAUGGCC
rnacentral:rRNA from 1 species